AGUCUAAUGCCUGGCAUUACGAGUUGGGGUAAAGAAGAAGGCAGGAACAAUGAUUGUGGAGAGCUCUAUCUGCCUCAGAAAUAAUGCCAGUCGGCAAAGGCUGCCGGCAGGUUUUGUGCUCAUUUCAAAACUUCACAUUCCUCAGGCACUUAGUGGCAUUUUUGAAGAACACUGUGUCAAGGACAGUGGGUGACCCAGGAGAGUGAUGUGAGCGAGGUCAUUCUGAAUACACAGCACUUGACGUGGUAGAGUCUACAGCCACAGCUUGGAAAAACAGCUCUUGGCAGUUGUGUCUCUCUUAGCCAGCAAGCGUGGGGACCUGUGCCACGGAGACACCCAACAGGAAUCAUCAUUCCAGGCAGACACCUGGCUGCGGGAGCCACUGCCAAGUCUAGCUGUCAGGAAGUUGUCAGAGGCUGCACCUGGGAAGAAAGCCACUCUGCGGAACACUCAUCCAGGCUCUCAUUUCCCAGCUUCUUGUCUGGGUUGGAAAACAAUGAGACAUCUGCCCUGAAUGCCCACCUUUUCCAUCAGUGGCAGUAGGCACAUAAGUCUUAGGUGAGUACCUGUCACCCACCCCGCCCACACUCCCUGUGCAGGCCCCUGUUCCUCUAGCUCAUGCCCCUAAGCCUCUUAGAGGUGGAUGAAUCCUGGCAAGUCCCCUAGGAUACCUCCACUUCCUAGGAAUCCCUUUUACCCACUCAGCGAUUUCUAGAGGGGUGAUGCUUUAGCCCCAGAGAAUCACCAGCAGGAAUAGCAGAGCCUUUGGUCGGAAAGAGCUUUUGUACUCUUGUGGGUGGUAACAGGAAAGCAAGCACUCACUGGGUCCACCUGUGUAUGGGGCUUUCCUACUCUGGGCCUUCCCGAACCAUGGUCCUACAGUGGCCUCUCAGGUGACAUGAAGUACAGGUCAUGUCACCUGAGGUCAGGUGGCAUUUUCUUAAGCCUGUUUUCUAAGGCAAAUGCCUCCUACUUGAAACUAGAAGGCAGAUAGGUUGAGCUCCCCUCUUUGCUCCGGCAGCAGUGGCCACCUUGCUCUUGCCCCUGUGUCACUGCCCUGGGGCCUUUGCACUUACUGUUUCCUCUGCUCAGGAAGCUCUUCCCUGAGAUCCCUGUGGACCUGAUCCCUCCCACCCUUCAAGUAUUUGCUGAAAUGUCAUCUUCUCCCUGAGGAGUUCCUGGAGAUCCCCUUUUAAGUUGCAGACUAUCCCACAUCCAGCCAGUCCCUAGCCCUUUGGCUUAGGUUUUCUCCAUAGCACAUGUUAAUGUUAUCCAGGGUCUGUCUGCACCCAUGGGACUGUAAAGUCUACAAAGACAGGGAUUUUGUAUUUUUUCUGCACAGCCAUGUCUCCAGCACCUAUAAAACCAACUGGAGCCUAGGAGGCUCACUAAUGUUGGCUGAAUGAAUGAAUGAGUACUCAGGUCCUUCAUGAUUGGUGCUGUCCAAUCACCCUCCACUAGGUUGUGGGAAAGCAGAAAUCAUUUCAGGUGAAGGAAGUUGUAAUUAAAGUUUUCAGCUGAAAUGUAACUACAGAAAAACUUCUUGUUGAGAAAAAAUACAAUAUCAUAACUGAGCAGUUUCAUGAGAAUUGUCUCAUUAGAAGUUGAAUCAGUCCGGGCCUGAUGGCUCAUCCCAGCACUCUGGGAGGCCGACACAGGCGGGUCACUUGAGGUCA
rnacentral:lncRNA from 1 species